rnacentral:rRNA from 1 species
UGGGGAAUUUUGGACAAUGGGCGAAAGCCUGAUCCAGCAAUGCCGCGUGUGUGAAGAAGGCCUUCGGGUUGUAAAGCACUUUCAGCGAGGAGGAAGGUGGUGAGCUUAAUACGCUCAUCAAUUGACGUUACUCGCAGAAGAAGCACCGGCUAACUCCGUGCCAGCAGCCGCGGUAAUACGGAGGGUGCAAGCGUUAAUCGGAAUUACUGGGCGUAAAGCGCACACAGGCGGCUUGUUAAGUCAGAUGUGAAAUCCCCGGGCUCAACCUGGGAACUGCAUUUGAAACUGGCAAGCUAGAGUCUCGUAGAGGGGGGUAGAAUUCCAGGUGUAGCGGUGAAAUGCGUAGAGAUCUGGAGGAAUACCGGUGGCGAAGGCGGCCCCCUGGACGAAGACUGACGCUCAGGUGCG